GACGAACGCUGGCGGCGUGCUUAACACAUGCAAGUCGAACGGUGAAGCUCCAGCUUGCUGGAGUGGAUCAGUGGCGAACGGGUGAGUAACACGUGAGCAACCUGCCCCUGACUCUGGAAUAAGCGCUGGAAACGGCGUCUAAUACCGGAUACGAGAAGGGUCCGCAUGGGCACUUUCUGGAAAGUUUUUCGGUUGGGGAUGGGCUCGCGGCCUAUCAGCUUGUUGGUGAGGUAAUGGCUCACCAAGGCGACGACGGGUAGCCGGCCUGAGAGGGCGACCGGCCACACUGGGACUGAGACACGGCCCAGACUCCUACGGGAGGCAGCAGUGGGGAAUAUUGCACAAUGGGCGAAAGCCUGAUGCAGCGACGCCGCGUGAGGGAUGACGGCCUUCGGGUUGUAAACCUCUUUCAGCAGGGAAGAAGCGAAAGUGACGGUACCUGCAGAAGAAGCACCGGCUAACUACGUG
rnacentral:rRNA from 1 species